rnacentral:ncRNA from 2 species
UUCAGGUCAUAUGACUGACGGAACCGUGGGAAUAACCACAUGAAGUAUGACCUGAGAAAGCCGACCGUCUGGGCAGUUAAG